rnacentral:rRNA from 1 species
CCUACGGGUGGCUGCAGUGGGGAAUAUUGGACAAUGGGGGGAACCCUGAUCCAGCCAUGCCGCGUGUGUGAAGAAGGCCCUCGGGUUGUAAAGCACUUUCAGUGAGGAAGAACGCCUGGUGGUUAAUACCCAUCAGGAAAGACAUCACUCACAGAAGAAGCACCGGCUAACUCCGUGCCAGCAGCCGCGGUAAUACGGAGGGUGCGAGCGUUAAUCGGAAUUACUGGGCGUAAAGCGCGCGUAGGUGGCUUGAUAAGCCGGUUGUGAAAGCCCCGGGCUCAACCUGGGAACGGCAUCCGGAACUGUCAAGCUAGAGUGCAGGAGAGGAAGGUAGAAUUCCCGGUGUAGCGGUGAAAUGCGUAGAGAUCGGGAGGAAUACCAGUGGCGAAGGCGGCCUUCUGGACUGACACUGACACUGGGGUGCGAAAGCGUGGGUAGCAAACAGGAUUAGAUACCCUGGUAGUC